rnacentral:rRNA from 1 species
AGUUAAAAAGCUCGUAGCUGGAUUUCGGGCCCAGGUGACCGGUCCGCCGUUUCGGUGUGCACUGGUUAGCUCGGUCUUUCUGCCGGGGACACGCUCCGUCUUAAUUGCCGGACGUGGAGUCGGCGAUGUUACUUUGAAAAAUUAGAGUGUUCAAAGCAGGCUUACGCUCUGAAUACUAUAGCAUGGAAUAACACGAUAGGACUCCGAGCCUAUUUUGUUGGUCUUCGGGACCGGAGUAAUGAUUAAGAGGGACAGUUGGGGGCAUUCGUAUUACGGUGUCAGAGGUGAAAUUCUUGGAUUUCCGUAAGACGAACUUCUGCGAAAGCAUUUGCCAAGGAUGUUUUCAUUAAUCAAGAACGAAAGUUGGGGGCUCGAAGAUGAUCAGAUACCGUCGUAAUCUCAACCAUAAACGAUGCCGACUAGGGAUUGCAGGAUGUUAAUUCGAUGACUUCUGCAGCACCUUAAGAGAAAUCAAAGUUUUUGGGUUCCGGGGGGAGUAUGGUCGCAAGGCUGAAACUUAAAGGAAUUGACGGAAGGGCACCACCAGGCGUGGAGCCUGCGGCUUAAUUUGACUCAACACGGGGAAACUUACCAGGUCCAGACAUAGUAAGGAUUGACAGAUUGAGAGCUCUUUCUUGAUUCUAUGGGGUGGUGGUGCAU